rnacentral:rRNA from 1 species
CUACGGGAGGCAGCAGUGAGGAAUAUUGGUCAAUGGAGGCAACUCUGAACCAGCCAUGCCGCGUGCAGGAUGACGGUCCUAUGGAUUGUAAACUGCUUUUGUACGGGAAGAAAUGUAAUUACGAGUAAUUAUUUGACGGUACCGUAAGAAUAAGGAUCGGCUAACUCCGUGCCAGCAGCCGCGGUAAUACGGAGGAUCCGAGCGUUAUCCGGAAUUAUUGGGUUUAAAGGGUUCGUAGGCGGCUUAGUAAGUCAGUGGUGAAAUCUUGCAGCUUAACUGUAAAAUUGCCGUUGAUACUGCUAAACUUGAAUAGUAUGGAAGUAAUUAGAAUAUGUAGUGUAGCGGUGAAAUGCUUAGAUAUUACAUGGAAUACCAAUUGCGAAGGCAGAUUACUACGUACUUAUUGACGCUGAUGAACGAAAGCGUGGGUAGCGAACAGGAUUAGAUACCCUGGUAGUCCACGCCGUAAACGAUGGAUACUAGCUGUUCGGUCUUCGGAUUGAGUGGGCUAAGCGAAAGUGAUAAGUAUCCCAC